UAAUUGAAGAGUUUGAUCAUGGCUCAGAUUGAACGCUGGCGGCAGGCCUAACACAUGCAAGUCGAGCGGUAACAGGGGAAGCUUGCU
rnacentral:rRNA from 1 species